GAUGAAGAACGUAGCGAAAUGCGAUAAGUAAUGUGAAUUGCAGAAUUCAGUGAAUCAUCGAAUCUUUGAACGCACCUUGCGCUCCUUGGUAUUCCAAAGAGCAUGCCUGUUUGAGUAUCAUUAAAUUAUCAACUGUACCAAUUUGGUUGCAGAUUGGAUGUGGGAGAUUUUGCAGGCUUUUGAUUUCUCUUUGAGAAAACGGUCAGCUCUCCUGAAAUAUAUUAGCAGUGCCUUUGUUGGUUCAUUAGGUGUGAUAAUUUAUCUACAUCUUCACAUGGUACCUUCAUUUGUGUAAAGGUCAUAUUGCUUCUAAUUGUCUUUGGACAUAAAUAAAAAAAAACAUAUAAUUGUAUGGAAAACUUGAUCUCAAAUCAGGCAGGACUACCCGCUGAACUUAAGCAUAUCAAUAAGCGGAGGA
rnacentral:misc_RNA from 1 species